rfam:Gossypium arboreum cultivar AKA8401 contig_398_1, whole genome shotgun sequence.
AACCCAUGGUUAGGGCACCUUUUCAAAAGGUCAUUGUAUCUCUCCCAUGCAUCAUAGAGUGUUUCUAAAUCCAUUUGCACAAAAUAAGAGAUAUCAUUACGUAAUUU